rnacentral:rRNA from 1 species
UCGGUUUCUAUCUAUGAUAACUUAUACCCAGUACGAAAGGACCGGCAUAAGGAAGCCAAUGCUAAAAGCACGCCUUUACACAACCCCAACCAAAUUAAACCACCUCACCCUAUUACAAACCAAGACAAGGUUAAUUAAGGACACAGCCCUUA